rnacentral:lncRNA from 1 species
CUUCGUGGUCCACACUCACCUGCUCAAGAAAUGCGCUCGAGUCGCUUGCAGACCUUCGGUGGGACCUACACUUUGAGGAGGAGGAGGAGAAGUUGAGGUAGUCAUCAACCUAUGAGAUGCCCUAUAUGUUGAGAUGCCCUGAUUAAGAAGUGAAGAACAGAGAAGUUGAACUUGAACUUGAACUGAGAACCAAAAUCUCUAUUGAGAAGUGAUGUUGAGAAGUGCCCUAAAUCUCUAAAUUGAGAACAUCAAAACCCUAAUUGCUGAUGCCAUAUGUUGUGAUGGAGUUG